AGAGGGUUGCCAACCCGCGAGGGGGAGCUAAUCCCAUAAAACCAGUCGUAGUCCGGAUCGCAGUCUGCAACUCGACUGCGUGAAGUCGGAAUCGCUAGUAAUCGCGGAUCAGCAUGCCGCGGUGAAUACGUUCCCGGGUCUUGUACACACCGCCCGUCACACCAUGGGAGCGGGUCUCGCCAGAAGUAGGUAGCCUAACCGCAAGGAGGGCGCUUA
rnacentral:rRNA from 1 species